rnacentral:rRNA from 1 species
CGUGUAGGCGGUCCGCUAAGUCUGAUGUGAAAGCCCGGGGCUCACCCCCCGGAAGGGCAUUGGAAACUGGCGGACUCGAGUCCCGGAGAGGAAGGUGGAAUUCCUGGUGUAGCGGUGAAAUGCGUAGAUAUCAGGAGGAAUACCGGUGGCGAAGGCGGCCUUCUGGACGGUGACUGACGCUGAGACGCGAAAGCGUGGGGAGCAAACA